rnacentral:rRNA from 1 species
UACGUAGGGUGCAAGCGUUAUCCGGAAUUAUUGGGCGUAAAGGGUGCGUAGGCGGCGCGGUAAGUCGGGUGUGAAAUCUCGGAGCUUAACUCCGAAACUGCAUUCGAUACUGCCGUGCUUGAGGACUGGAGAGGAGGCUGGAAUUUACGGUGUAGCGGUGAAAUGCGUAGAUAUCGUAAGGAAGACCAGUGGCGAAGGCGGGUCUCUGGACAGUUCCUGACGCUGAGGCACGAAGGCCAGGGGAGCAAACGGG